rnacentral:rRNA from 1 species
ACUCCUACGGGAGGCAGCAGUGGGGAAUAUUGCACAAUGGGGGAAACCCUGAUGCAGCCAUGCCGCGUGUGUGAAGAAGGCCUUCGGUUGUAAAGCACUUUCAGUAGGGAGGAAGGUAGUGUAGUUAACACCUGCAUUAUUUGUACGUUACCUACAGAAGAAGCACCGGCUAACUCCGUGCCAGCAGCCGCGGUAAGUACGGAGGGUGCGAGCGUUAAUCGGAAUUACUGGGCGUAAAGCGCAUGCAGGCGGCCUGUUAAGUCAGAUGUGAAAGCCCGGGGCUUAACCUCGGAAUUGCAUUUGAAACUGGCAGGCUAGAGUCUUGUAGAGGGGUUAGAAUUUCAGGUGUAGCGGUGAAAUGCGUAGAGAUCUGAAGGAAUACCAGU